AUGUCUUUCCCUAACCUGAACAACUGCAUUUACAUAUUCAGAGAUAUCUCAUCACCCACUGGGAUAUUUUUGUCUACAGUUUAUGCAUGCAUUUCCUUAGAGGCUGCUCUGCAUUUUACUGUGACAUCAGCCUUCCUGGGACUUGGCCAAAACCCUCAGGGCUUAGAGACACAUGUCCAGUGUCAAAAUCCUUGGUGUCAGAAGCAGCCUGAUCUGAUAAGCAUCUUAAAACUUCCAAUUAAAACUUGCUUGAUGCUGCAAGGCGCUGCCUCGCCUCCCACCCUGACAGCACAACAAACACAGGAGUCUGUGUCAAAGGCAAACCCUGGCUAUUGCUGCUCGGUGUCGUCAGGCUUCCCAGCAGCCAGGACUCGUGGGGACCUCCUGCUCCCACUGCUGCCUUUGCCAGCAGCCUCCCGGGGGUGCCAGCAGCAUCCCGGGGGUGCCAGCAGCAUCCCAGGGGUUCCAGCAGCAUCCCGGGGGUUCCAGCAGCAUCCCGGGGGUGCCAGCAGCAUCCCGGGGGUGCCAGCAGCAUCCUGGCAGUGCCAGCAGCAUCCCAGGAGUUCCAGCAGCAUCCCGGGGGUGCCAGCAGCAUCCCGGGGGUGCCAGCAGCAUCUCAGGGGUUCCAGCAGCCUCUCGGGGGUUCCAGCAGCCUCUCGGGGGUGCCAGCAGCAUCCCGGGGGUGCCAGCAGCAUCCCAAGUGUGCCAGCACCCAUGGACCCAUGGCUCCUGGCCAUCCACACCCUGUCCCUCUCUGCCAGCCCGCCUCUGGGCACUGGGACAUGGCUUUCCCUGCCAGCUGAGCUUCAAAGGAAACAAGUGAUAGAAUCUCAGCAGCCUGACGGUGCCACUGAGAUAGUGUUUGCCCUCAGGCGUUUAAAGCAAUGGCAAACACAAUCCCUUUCAUCCUCAGGGUUGCAUAAGUGUGUCCAGCUGGGCAAAGGACCUGUGGAUUUGGCUCAGGGUCCUUCCCAGCAGGGCCGUGCACUAAAAUUGCAGAAGCAGUUAUUCCAAGUCCAAGGGGCCAGGCCAGCAGGGAUGAGGAAGGAACCAGCGGAAGGUAUGGAAAAGCAGGGGCUGCACAGGGGCAGCCUGGGCUGA
rnacentral:lncRNA from 1 species